CCGCUGCGGAGGACCUUCCUGGUGGGGGAGAUCAAGUCGCUGGACCAGUAGGAUUUCUCGAGGGCCAAGGCGGCAGCCAGCCUGGCGUGGGUGCUGCUGGCCCCGUUGGGGGCGCAGAGCACAUACCCCCGGAGCUGAGGGAGCCCUUCUAUACUGACCAGUAUGCGCAGGAGCACAUGAAGCCCCUAGUGACAUGGCUGUUGCUCUCAGCUGAGCUCUACUGCAGGGCCUGGCGCCAGGCACUGCCACAGCUUGAAACACCCCCCAACCUGCUCGGGGUGCUGGUGAGGAGGGGCACGGUGCCUGCAUUGCCGGAGCGGCAGGUGCGCAAGGCCGACCUGAGGAACCAGCGCAUUCUCAUGGGAGCCCAUCUAGCUAUCAUUGAUGCCCUCAUGGCUGCCUUUGCCUUCGAGUGGACAAAGACCCUGCCAGGUCCCUUGGCCCUCACCAGCUUGGAGCACAAGCUGCUUUUCUGGGUAGACACGACUGUCCGGCGGCUGCAGGAGAAGACAGAGCAGGAAGCGGCCCAGAGAGCCUCUCCAGCAGCCCCUGCAGACGGGGCGGCCCUGGCGCAGCCCUCCAUCCGAUACUGCAAGGACCGGGUGGUGGCACGGCGUGCCCCCUGCUUCCCAACGGUGACCAGCCUCCAGGACCUGGCCAGUGGGGCUGCACUGGCCGCCACCAUCCACUGCUAUUGUCCCCAGCUGCUUCGACUUGAGGUGUGCCUGAAGGACCCCAUAUCUGUGGCGGACAGCCUGUACAACCUCCAGCUGGUACAGGACUUCCGCGCCUCCCGCCUUCCUCGUGGCUGACCCCUGUCCCUCGAGGACUUGCUCUACGUCCCCCGCCGCUCAAGGUCAACUUGGUGCUGCUGCUGGCUAAGUUGUUCGUGUGUUUUGAGGUGCUCAAGCCUGACUUCAUGCAAGUGAAGGGCUUGCCGAAUGGUCACGCCGCCUUCCCCCGGGGCACGGAGGCCCCCCCUCCCCCCGACCCCCCGCUCAGAACAACAGCGGCAGCAGUUCUCCUGUCUUCAACUUCCACCACCCACUUCUGUCACCUGGCGGCCCCCAGUCCCCACUUCGAGGAUCCACAGGGUCCCUGAAGUCUUCCUCGUCCAUGUCCCAUAGGGAGGCCCUGGGCAAGGCCUGGAACCAGCAACUCAGCGACGUGGAUGUCGUCAUGGGAGACCUUGUGCUGCCUCCGCUCUGUGAGCUCGGAAAGCCUGGACCCCCCCAUGUCCCGCGCCGGCCAGGACCCCUGCCCAGCCCCCCGCGGAGGCUGGCGACCUGCCCACCAUCGAGGAGGCUCUGCAGAUCAUCCACAGUGCCGAGCCCCGGCUGCUCCCAGACGGGGCAGCUGACGGCAGCUUCUACCUCCACUCCCCUGAGGGGCCCUCCAAGCCAUCCCUGGCCUCCCCGUGCCUGCCUGAGGGGACCCCUAAACCACUGUCCGGCAAGCACUGGUGUACAUGCCACACCCCGAGACCCCCUCAAAACCAUCUCCCACUCUGGUGGGGGAGGCAUCGAAACCGCCGGCCCCAUCCGAGGGGUCCCCAAACGCAGCGGCUUCGUCCCCAGCGGCCACCAACUCCGAGGUGAAAAUGACCAGCUUUGCAGAACGCAAGAGACAGCUGGUGAAGGCAGAGGCUGAGGCUAGAGCAGGGUCCCCCACGUGCACUCCGGCCCCGCUGGAGGCCCUGAGUUCAGAGAUGAGUGAGUUUGGCGCCCGGCUGGAGGAGAAACGCAGAGCCAUUGAGGCUCAGAAGCGACGGAUUGAGGCCAUCUUCGCCAAGCACCGCCAGCGGCUGGGCAAAAGCGCCUUCCUGCAGGUGCAGCCAAGAGAGGCUUCCGGGGAGGCGGAGGCCGAGGCCGACCCAGGCCCAGUCCCUGGUGGGAAGCGGCCGGCGGGCGAAGGCCAGGGUGAGCCAACUUUGCGGCCCAAGGCAGUGACCUUCUCACCAGACUUGGGUCCGCUGCCCCCGAGUGGUUGGGGGAAUACAAUCGAGCGGUCAGCAAGCUGAGUGCUGCUUUGAGCUCUCUGCAGCGGGACAUGCAGAGGCUCACGGACCAGCAGGAGCGGCUCCGGGCCCCGCCCCCUGCUGCAUGGAUCAUUCCUGGCCCCACAAGGACGGGGCCCAAAGCCUUGUCCGCCAGCCCCACCCGGCAGGUCCCGGGCACCCGGCGCAGCCCUGGCCCGGGGCCCAGCCAGUCACCCCGAAGCCUGAAACACAGCCGGCCGGCGGAGCUGCGGCUGGCGCCCCUAACCAGGGUGCUCACACCGCCCCACGACGUACAAAGCCUCCCCAACCUGCGCAAGUUCUCCCCGAGCCAGGUGCCCGUGCAGACGCGCUCCUCCAUCCUCCUGGCAGAGGGGACAGCCCGGAGGAGCCAGCUGCCCGGGCCGGCCUCACUGAGAUCCCGCUGGGCAGCCUGGCAGAGCCCGCUGCCGAGGAAGAGGGAGACGGGAGCCCCCCUGGUGCUGAGGAUUCUUUGGAAGAGGAGGCGUCUUCAGAGGUGGAGCCCCGAGCGGGGCUGGGGUUCUUCUAUAGGGGUGAAGACAAGCCUGAGGAUGAGAUGGCGCAAAAAGCCAGCACGGGGCCUGCUGGAGCGGCAGCAGCGGCGGGGAGAGGAGGUGCGGCGGCGCAAGCAGUGGCAGGAGGCGGAGAAGGAACAGCGGAGGGAGGGGGGCCCUGGCUCAGCCCCAGCCCUGUCCGCAGUCCCUGCAGCCUCCAUGGCCACCCCGGCCCCUGCUGCCCGGGCUCCAGCCGAGGAGGAGGUGGGUCCCUGGCGGGGGGACGAGCGCCAGCCCAGCUGAAGCUGAUGGACGACCGUGAUAAGGUGUUGCGGUCCCGGGCUGCGGGGUCCUAGGGCCGGGGUUGGGGCGGGCGGAAGGCGCCCCGGCCUCGCUCAGGUUGCUAUGACGACUUGGCCCUGGCGCGAAGCCCAGCACGUGGCCUGCUGGGCUCUCGGCUGAGCAAAAUCUAUUCCCAGUCCACCCUGUCACUGUCCACUGUGGCCAAUGAGGCCCCCAAUAACUUCGGGGUCAAGAGGCCCACGUCUCGGGCUCCCUCCCCGUCGGGCCUCAUGCCCCCAAGCCGCCUGCCUGGGAGCCGUGAACGGGACUGGGAGCAUGGCAGCAACGCCUCCUCCCAGCGUCGGUGCCCGAGUACAGAGGUCCACGGCUGUACAGGGAGCCUGGCGCCAAGUCCACCAAGUUCAUCAUCCGCAACGCUCUGUCACACUGCUGCCCGGCGGGCAAGGUGAACGAACCGCAGAAGAACCGCAUUCUGGAGGAAACUGAGAAAAGCAAGGCCAACCACUUCCCGAUUCUCUUUUGCGACUCGAGCUGCCAGUUCGGGGCGCUCUACACGACGGAGGAGCUGUCGCAGCUGGUGGGCUACGGGCCCCGGACCAUCACACCCGCCAAGGCGGAAGGCAUCUACAAGCACAACUCGGACCGCGAGCACUUCUCCCGGAUCCCCGCCAAGGCUGUGUCCAUGAGCGUUGAUGCCUUCACCAUCCAGGGACACCUCUGGCACGGCAAGAAACCCACCACUCCCAAGAAGGGCGGCAGCACCCCCAAAUAGCCCCACCCGGGGCUGGGCCCUGUGUGCUGCGGCCGCCGCCUCCCAGAGGACAGCGAGUGGGUGUUCCUGGGUCCUGCCUGUCCCCAGCCGUGUCUGGGUGGGGCUGGAGGCUCCACCCUCUGACUCUGAGUCCAGUCCUGCUGUGGGGGCUGAGCUGGGAGGUUCAGGGACUCAGGGCUCAGCUGAGUCCCCUUGUCUGUCCUCUCCCACUUGUUGAAUAAAAUAAUUUAAAGAGAAGUUGA